rnacentral:rRNA from 1 species
UGGGGAAUAUUGGACAAUGGGCGCAAGCCUGAUCCAGCAAUGCCGCGUGGGUGAUGAAGGCCUUAGGGUUGUAAAGCCCUUUCGCACGCGACGAUGAUGACGGUAGCGUGAGAAGAAGCCCCGGCUAACUUCGUGCCAGCAGCCGCGGUAAUACGAAGGGGGCGAGCGUUGUUCGGAAUUACUGGGCGUAAAGGGCGCGCAGGCGGCGUUGGAAGUCAGGCGUGAAAGCCCCGGGCUCAACCUGGGAAUUGCGUUUGAUACUCUGAUGCUGGAGUUCGGGAGAGGAGAGUGGAAUUCCCAGUGUAGAGGUGAAAUUCGUAGAUAUUGGGAAGAACACCGGUGGCGAAGGCGGCUCUCUGGACCGAGACUGACGCUGAGGCGCGAAAGCGUGGGGAGCAAACAGGAUUAGAUACCCGGGUAGUCC